rnacentral:lncRNA from 1 species
GCAUACUUUGAAGAAGUUCCAGCAAUUUCUAAUUCCAUAGCAAUGUCCAAAGACCAUACAAAAGAAACAAACAAGGAGCAACAAGAACAAAAAUCAAAUGUAUUGGACGAUCGACCAUUCUAGAAUUUCUGUUUGUAAACUGCCCCAAGGUGCAACACUAUCUCCACUGCUGACCAAAAUAGCCUGGGAACUCCUGCAACCAUCACCACUACAGCAGAUAUGUCAUAAGCCAGUAUUUAAGAAAGCAACAGAAGAAACAAGAAGAAAAUAGGAGCAUGUAUAGCAAGAUAUAUUAAUCAUGAAAACCAGUUAAAUUAAAACUCUUGGGGAUGAUGAUGAUAUAUGGACUGCAACAAUCCCCUUCCAAAUCUUCAUCACCAUCAGACCAGUCAGAUUCAUCAAGUCCACAUCCAUUACCUGAACACACUUACUUCACCCAAAAGACUAUUGCGUGGUUUUCUGACUUCCAAAUAUGUUUAGUUAACCCUUAUGACUACAAGUUGCAUAUGCUGUUGCAUAUAUCUGAGAAGGGGAACUGCCUUGAUAUAUAUAUAUCUGUAUCCCAGAGCUCAUUGCAUUGAAUUGCUCCCAGGACUUCGGAAUCCGAC